UGAAUCAAACUCAAAGCUAGGUCCUGAUAUCUCAAGGCACAGGUACUCGUACUUAAAGGCACUGUCAUCUCUCAAGUACCCAUCGUGGAGGGUACGGACCCCACAUGAGGAAAGGACCAACCACCUCGAGCUCAGUUAUGGCACAAACAGUGGGACCUAGACAAAGGGAGAGGGUGACCAGCAUCCCAACUAGAUUUCAGUGGAGUGAAGUUCAGGAGGCAUGGAGCUGACGACCACGAGGCCUCGGCAGCCACCGCCGCUGCCGCCACCACCACCGCCGCCGCCGCCGCCGCCGCAGCAGCAAGAGUAACUCUGACUUAGGAAUAGAGACAGCCGGAGAGAAAUGUGAUCAAUGAAGGAGACAUGUGGAGUGUGCGUGCUUCUUCAGAGGGACUGGUGAUGGGCAGACUGGAAAAAGCACUGCAGAUGGGAACAUUAAUCUUUCUUUUCUAAAAUUGAUGCUAUGAAAAUUUGCGUUUUCUGUAACUUGUAAAAACUAAAAGUUGCUUGUCUACUGAAAA
rnacentral:lncRNA from 1 species